GCCUACGGGGGGCAGCAGUGAGGAAUAUUGGUCAAUGGCCGAGAGGCUGAACCAGCCAAGUCGCGUGAGGGAUGACGGCCCUACGGGUUGUAAACCUCUUUUGUCGGGGAGCAAAGAGAGUCACGUGUGACUCAUUGAGAGUACCCGAAGAAAAAGCAUCGGCUAACUCCGUGCCAGCAGCCGCGGUAAUACGGAGGAUGCGAGCGUUGUCCGGAUUUAUUGGGUUUAAAGGGUGCGCAGGCGGGAGAUCAAGUCAGCGGUAAAAUGUCGGGGCUCAACCCCGGCCGGCCGUUGGAACUGGGUUU
rnacentral:rRNA from 1 species